rnacentral:misc_RNA from 1 species
UUCUAAUAUUUUCUCUCUCCAUCUAUGUGAUGACAUGAAGAGGGACAAAAUAGAAGUAGAGAAAGAAUCCAUCUUUCCUUCUUCUUCUUUCUUGUACAUUUUUAAAACACAUUCUCUACCCUUUCUCUUCCCGCCCAAGAUCCAGAAAAUUUACCGAACAUGAAGGGAAAGUUUUCUCUCCUUACUCCCUUCCUCUUCUCUUUCACUUUCUCUCUGCUUCUUCCUCCUUCGCUUUCUGCUCCUCCUAAUGAUACAGAUGCUCUCACGCUCUUCCGCCUCCAGACCGACACCCACGGCAAUCUCCUCUCCAACUGGACCGGCCCAAAUGCUUGUGCUUCCUCCUCUUCUUCUUGGGUUGGCGUCAAGUGCUCUGCCGCUGGCCGCGUUGUUUCUCUUUCUCUCCCUUCUCUCUCCCUCCGUGGACCCAUUACUUCCCUUUCUCUUCUUGAUCAGCUCCGCGUCCUCGACCUCCACGAAAACCGCCUCAACGGCUCCGUUUUGCCUCUCACCAACUGCACAAACCUCAAGCUUGUUUAUCUGGAUGGCAAUGACUUCUCAGAUGAAAUCCCGCCGGAGAUUUCCUCUCUCAAACGGCUCCUCCGCUUGGACCUAUCAAACAACAACAUACGCGGCGAGAUUCCUGUAGGAUUGUCCAACUUGACCAAGCUUUUAACUCUCCGGUUACAAAACAAUGAACUCUCCGGCCAAAUCCCGGAUCUCUCCAGGUCAUUUCCCAAUCUUAAAGAACUCAAUUUGUCCAACAACGAACUGUACGGACGUUUACAAGAUAACUUGUUGAAGAAAUUCAGUUACCGGAGCUUUUUUGGCAAUGAAGGUUUAUGUGGGUCGAGUCCAUUACCAGCUUGUUCCUUCACAGGAACGGUACCGACGGAUCCCUCAUCUCAGACGGUGCCAUCUAACCCAAGCUCAAUGCCCCAGACACCGCUCCUCAGCAAAGACAAGCCUCAGUCACAUAAAGGGCUAAGCCCUGGUGCUAUUGUGGCAAUUGUGAUAGCCAACUGCGUGGCUUUCUUGGUGAUGAUUUCAUUUUUAGUUGCGUAUUAUUGUGGUAGAGACAGAAGUGCAAGCUCUAAAGUGGGUAGUGAGAGUGGAAAGAGAAGGAAGAGUGGAAGCAGCUAUGGAAGCGAAAAGAGAGUGUAUGCAAAUGGGAGUGGAGAUAGCGAUGGAACUAAUGCUACUGAUAGGAGUAGGCUUGUCUUCUUUGACAGGAGGCAGCCGUUUGAACUUGAGGACUUGUUGCGUGCCUCGGCGGAGAUGCUUGGUAAGGGAAGCCUAGGAACUGUCUACAAGGCGGUGCUAGACAAUGGAUGUACGGUGGCGGUGAAGAGGUUGAAGGACGCCAACCCUUGUGCAAGGAAGGAUUUCGAGCAGUAUAUGGAUGUGAUUGGGAAGCUUAAGCAUCCAAAUAUUGUGAGAUUUAGAGCUUACUAUUAUGCCAAGGAAGAGAAACUUAUUGUUUAUGACUAUCUUCCUAAUGGGAGUCUCCAUUCACUUCUUCAUGGAAAUAGAGGUCCAGGGAGGAUGCCUCUGGAUUGGACUACGAGAAUCAGCUUGGUAUUAGGAGCUGCAAGAGGAUUGGCUAAUAUCCAUGAGGAAUACAAUACAUCGAAAAUUCCCCAUGGAAAUGUGAAAUCUUCUAAUGUGCUUCUUGACAAGAAUGGUGUUGCUUGCAUUUCUGAUUUUGGGCUGUCCCUCCUCUUGAACCCAGUUCAUGCCAUAGCAAGAUUGGGAGGAUACAAGGCACCAGAGCAGGCAGAACUCAAGAGACUUUCCCAAAAGGCCGAUGUGUACAGUUUCGGAGUCUUAUUGUUGGAAGUUCUUACAGGAAGAGCUCCCUCACAGUAUCCUUCACCAACACGUCCUCGAAUUGAGGAAGAUGAACAGGCGGUGGAUCUUCCCAAGUGGGUGAGAUCAGUAGUCAAGGAAGAAUGGACAGCAGAAGUGUUUGAUCCAGAACUUUUGAGGUACAAAAACAUUGAAGAAGAACUUGUGUCAAUGCUUCAUGUGGGGUUAGUUUGUGUAGUUCCAGUGCCUGAGAAGAGGCCUACAAUGGCAGAGGUGGUGAAGAUGAUUGAGGACAUUAGGGUGGAGCAGUCGCCUCUGGGAGAGGACUAUGACGAAUCUCGCAAUUCGCUAUCACCUUCCCUGGCAACCACCGAAGAUGGGUUGGCUGGAUAUUGAAAUUGCUAGUAAUUAUUUGGUGGUCCUAUUCUUUUCUUCAUUUGCAUCAUCUUGUCGCUACCUCUCUUCCAAGAACCUUAAUUUGUAUUGCGUUUCUUUGUAAGAUUUUGUAAGCCUUAUGCCUUGCCUCUCCCAUUGCAGGUGUGAAGAUCUGAUUAUCUCUUACACCAGCCAGAAGAUAGAUAAUUCUAGUGUCCUAUGUGAAUUAUAGUUUGGCAUUUGAAUUAGUUAUUCAAUUCAUUGAGGGAAAAAAUUAAUAUUAUUCUCAGCAGCUUGAUUUGCAUACUGUCUGGCAGCUUCAAUCUCAUUGUUUUCGAAAUGAAAUGAAUUGAUACAAUUAGGGUGAACUCAAAGCAGUUCAAAUUGGUCCUCUGGAAGACCAGCAGGUUGGGAGAGGCAUAAGAUGCUUCAACAUGCAUUUGCCUACGUGGCGCUCCAAUAAAACAAACCCAGUAAAUCUUUAUGAAGAAACGAAACUAGUGCUACAAAUGAAGGAUGGACAAUUCUUAUGCACAGCCACCCGGGCUAGGGGGUUAGAAACUCAUGAAAUUUACAGGCAUUUCGGCUCAACGUGUAAUAGUUUGAUGUGAAAAUAACAUUAUUUACUUAUUUAUUUUUUCCUUUUUGGGUUGGUUGAACGCAAAAGGGAGGUGAGAGGAGAUCAACGUGACCCGUCACUGCCAUCAAGAAUUCCCUUCCACGACAUCUACUCCCUCAAUGGCGCUAGAGCUGAUUUCAAAACAAAGCCAAGGCUCGAAACAGCUGAUUUGAAACUCAAAUCCUCGUCCAGGGAAAUAGAAGUAAUGUUCAUUGAGAAAAAUAAACAUUUUAUGUGAUGUGAAGAUUUUAACAGUAGUCCAAGCAAACAAUCAUUUGCUACUCCUCGUUCCACUCUGUCAAAUCAUAAAAAUUAAUUAACAUGCAUGACAUAGUGCAUCCUAAGCAGAGAUGCCUUGAUAUAAUUAUAUAAGCCUCGACUCGUUUUUCCUAUAAAAUAGUCUUACAAUGUGUAAUGACUCGACCCUACAGUACAUACACUGCUAAUCCACUAACAUUUACCAUUCCUGUCACCAUCGAAUCACUUUCAAUGAGUUGAUACAAUUUACAAACUUCAAAAUACAACAGUUUGGCACCAAGAGAAUGCAAGUUCAUCAAUGAAUCAAUCGAAGUUAUUAACAACAGUUGGCGAGUCACAAGAUCCACCCGGACUUCUCAAGUAUACAGCGCAAAAGCCAUUUUAGUGAUGAAAAAGAGUAUCCUGGCCACAGGAUAUCAUUCCUGGAAGGGUCUAUGCAGCAAGAAUUAGAUUGGGAAUUUUGAAAUACAACUACCUGGUAAGGCUUUAAUUAGUUAGUGGAUAUUAGUUGAUAGAUCCCGUUUGAUCAAUCAGUGUGCCAACUUGCUCUCCACAUAAAGCUUUUGAGAUGUUUCCAGGCUCAAGAAGGUUAAAGAUCACAACUGUACAAAAUAAAUUCAUAAGGAUAGUACGGAAUUCAACAUUGCGCCAACACAGCAAUUGGCAUUACAAUAAAAAGUUCUUGAAUCACGAAAAUGGGCAAGCAGACACUAACAACAGUCCAAUAAACCAAAUCCAUUAUCAUGACAGAAACCACAUGAACUAUACGUGACAGUUAUCAGAAAAGAUGCAAUAAAAUAUACCAACCAGGAAUGCCAUUCUCUUCACAGCAGGUCAGUGCCAUCAUGUCCAUUGAUGUGGCACCUCUGGAGACCAAGUCCCGAAAGCAAAUAUGCUCGAAAGUAACAUUGUUGUCUCGGGAAUGGCAGUCAUAGACACCAUCAACAUUAGUACCUUUCAUUACUGCCUCAGCAUGAAUCUCUAAAGCUUGAAGAGCUGCAGCAGUGUCUGUGGAAAAGUGUGGAUUUCCAGUGCCAGCACCAAUGCCACCAAAUAUCACAACUCGGCCUUUCUCAAGAUGGCGAAUGGCACGUUGCCUAUUGUAUGGUUCAGCAACCUCCUGCAUUGCAAAUGCAGUCUGUACACGCGUUUGAACACCCACCUUCUCCAAUGCUGACUGGAGUAAUAUAGAAUUCAUCACACUUGCCAUCAUACCUAUUUGGUAGGCAGUACGUCUAUCAGAACCUGUUGCACUCACCCAUGUGUCUCCACAAAAGAAAUUACGACCUCCAACAACAAUUGCAACCUCUACACCAAGGCGGCAAGCAAUUGCAACUUCUCUUGCAAUCAGCACCAUCACCUUCGGGUCAAUAUUGUUAGGACCAGUGCCAGCAAGAGCAACACCACUGAUUUUCAAUACUACUCUCCGCCAUCUAAUGUUACACAUGGAUUUGGACUUUAUAUUAUUUGUCUGACCUACGUGACUUGCCAUUGUGGUUGCACAUCUGCCAAAAAAAUUGUAAAAAGCAUGUAUUAUAAGAUUCCAACAGCACCAAUGGACUUGAGUCAACAACUAAUUUUCAAACUAAAGAGUCCACAAUGAAACACACGCAUACACAUCAAGAGAAUUGGACAAAGAAAACAUUUCCUUAACUCAUCUUAACUGAUGAUAUAAUGACCCAGAAACAACAGAGCACUUAUCUGAACUCACCUCCAACAUGCCAAUUACAGUCGAAGCUGGUUUCUCUUUCAAUCUAUUGAAAUUGCAAUUCAAUAAAUUUGAUGAGUUAACAUAGUCAAUGAGGCAGCAUCUUAGCAGUUCAUCUAAGAUUUGAUAAUAUCUUACAUGUACCACACAAAAUCAUUAUAUCCAUACAUGCCUAAAUAGUGCUCCUUAUUUCUAAUGUUUUGGCCAAUGUAUUUCAACAGCAUGUAAAGUAAUAAUCUUGUGAAAGUAUAAAAACAUUACACAUUAUGACAGAAUAACUCAUCACAAUAGCAUUGAGUACAAGUGCAAAUAUACUUUGAAUACAAAUACAGAAGCACCAAAGGGUGUAUAAUGAGUAAUAAUGUGGCCACAUAAUAACCAAAACAACAAGAAUAAACAUGAUAGCCAACACAAGAGCUGCAAAGGACCAGUUAUAUAACAAUCCAUUUGAUAGGAAGCCAGUUGGCUACCAAGUGCCUUCCAAAAAAGCACAGUUCUUACAAAAGCCAUCCAAAGUCUCUCUUACUCUACAACAAGAAUUUAUAUCAGAGGUGUUUGUUUUAGUUGUUUAGAUCCUUGAUCAAAGAACACCAUAUCCUACAGAUGAACCGAACAUCAAGGAUGGGAACUACCAUGCCAGUAACUAAGGAUGGGUGACACUCUCUCUUACUAGAGAUGGCAAGAACAGGGAAACUACCUCAACCAUGCAAUUAUCCAACUCAUCAAAACCUUCUAGGAGAAAGAUUUUUGAAAGAAACCCUAUGAGUAGUGAGAGGACAGCUCCAGAAAAAGUAAAUUUUCUCUCCAAAGAAUAUAUCAAAACUCUGUUGAAAUUACCUUUGAAAUCUAACUUUCUGUCGAAGUAGGCUCACCGUAACCCAUUCUAGCCUAUUCUUAUUUGUUUCUUGUGAGUGUUGUGCAUGGAUUUUGGGGAAUAAGAUUAUAGUGACAUCAUCACUGAUAGCAUUAAUUAUGAAAUUCUGUUAUCAAUUUACCAAUCAAGUCCCAACUAACUCCUAAGCUAUGAAAGUAUGUAUGUUAAUUGCUAAAGCACUUUCCAUAGAUGCCUCAUCUCAUCAUCCCUUAACCUCCCCAUCACCAAACCAACCAAUAUACUGACUGAAUAACCAGAAGAGUCCAAUUAUAGCCGACACUGAAUAAUUUUAACUAAUUAGAAGCAUCCAAACUAAAACACUAAAAGUUAAAGCUAAACUAAAUUUCUUCCCAAACCCAAGUUUGCAACAUAAUUGAGUUGCAUUCUUACAAGCUAAUGCAUUUCCUCACAUUCUCAAUCAAACAAGUGCAAGUGUGCAACAUUCAAUCACCUUCCAGGCAGCGAAACUAUCUUAACUAUUUCAAUGGAGGUAGCACCCGAUAAUCGAGGCGUUUGACACGGUUUUACUUUAAUUCGUACCUAACAAACAGAAUAGCAUAGCUAAAGAAUCAACAGAACUGAAAAAUCUAC